rnacentral:rRNA from 1 species
UUUCGGGGAGAAUGAUCCUUGAGUGAUACAGCGAAAGCGUUAAGUAUUCCACCUGGGGAGUACGCCGGCAACGGUGAAACUCAAAGGAAUUGACGGGGGCCCGCACAAGCGGAGGAACAUGUGGUUUAAUUCGAUGAUACGCGAGGAACCUUACCCGGGCUCAAACGACACAGGAAUACUUUUGAAAGGAGGUAGCUCUUCGGAGCUUGUGUCGAGGUGCUGCAUGGUUGUCGUCAGCUCGUGCCGUGAGGUGUCGGCUUAAGUGCCAUAACGAGCGCAACCCCCAUCGCCAGUUACCAGCAAGUCAAGUUGGGGACUCUGGCGAGACUGCCGGCGCAAGCUGUGAGGAAGGCGGGGAUGACGUCAAAUCAGCACGGCCCUUACGUCCGGGGCGACACACGUGUUACAAUGGCAGGUACAGAGAGAAGCAAUGCGGCGACGCAAAGCGGAACUUGAAAGCCUGUCUCAGUUCGGAUUGGAGUCUGCAACUCGACUCCAUGAAGCUGGAUUCGCUAGUAAUCGCGCAUCAGCCAUGGCGCGGUGAAUACGUUCCCGGGCUUUGUACACACCGCCCGUCAAGCCAUGGAAGCCGGGAGUGCUUGAAGUGUGCAACCGCAAGGAGCGCCUUAAGGUAAAACUGGUGACUGGGGCUAAGUCGUAACAAGGUAGCUGU